CCUACGGGGGGCAGCAGUGAGGAAUAUUGGGCAAUGGGGGCAACCCUGACCCAGCCAUGCCGCGUGAGUGAAGAAGGUCUUCGGAUUGUAAAGCUCUUUCGGACGUGACGAUGAUGACGGUAGCGUCUAAAGAAGCACCGGCAAACUUCGUGCCAGCAGCCGCGGUAAUACGAAGGGUGCGAGCGUUGUUCGGAAUUACUGGGCGUAAAGGGAGUGUAGGCGGAUAUGUAAGAUAGCGGUGAAAUGCCGGGGCUCAACCCCGGAACUGCCAUUAUGACUAUGUAUCUAGAGUAAUGGAGAGGAUAGCGGAAUACCCAGUGUAGAGGUGAAAUGCGUAGAUAUCGGGAGGAACACCAGUGGCGAAGGCGGUUUACUGGACCACAACUGACGCUGAGACACGAAAGCGUGGGGAGCAAACAGGAUUAGAUACCCCUGUAGUC
rnacentral:rRNA from 1 species